rnacentral:pre_miRNA from 1 species
CUAGUACUCCCUCCGUCCGGAAAUACUUGUCGGAGAAAUGCAUAAAAAUAGAUGUAUCUAGAACUAAAAUAUGUCUAGAUACAUCCAUUCCUCCGACAAGUAUUUUCGGAUGGAGGGAGUACGUG